GCUUACGGCCAUACCACCUUAGGCACGCCCGAUCUCGUCUGAUCUCGGAAGCUAAGCAGGGUCGGGGCUGGUUAGUACUUGGAUGGGUGACCGCCUGGGAAUACCAGGUGCUGUAAUCA
rnacentral:rRNA from 1 species